AGAGAAUUUCUUUUCAAAUUUAUGUAAUGAUGUAAAAAAUAAUGCCUUUGAAACAUAUUUCGAAGAUAUAUUGAGGUUUUUAUGGUAUAAUCGGAACACUUUCUUAAACCACUUCAUUAUCGACGAACUGGAAAAUUGUUUCAAGAAAAUAAACUUAUUACAUACUCAAGAGAUAAUGCUGGAGGAAACUACGAAAAAUAUAAGAUAAAUCAAGAAUUUUCGUUGCGAUUAUGAAUCAUCAUGUUCUAAAUUCAAAUGUGGAGAGCAAACUUUCAAGGAUAUCAAAAUAUGAAAGGCGUUGGUCAUUACAUGACUAUCUAUUACUAUUAUUAGAAAGAAUGGGAUCUUUUAGAUACCAUUUGAAGAUUUCCCAAGAUCCGCAUCGAUAAUACUCAAUCAUGGUUAUUUUGUAAUUCUUCUUAAACGACCUUGCAAAAUAAUAUGAAUUCAAGAUUUAUGGAGCAUUAAACAACACUAAAAUGCUGGGAAAUGAAAAAGGUGAUGUUUUAUACCGAUCAACAAUUGGAUUGAUCUCAACAUACAAAAUAGAAGAGGAUUUGAAAUUGUGGCUAGAAAGAUUAGAACAAUAUUUUGAAGCAAAUUAUGUAGAAAAUAAAAAAUGAUUGAUUGUGUGACUCUGUGACCUAGAAUUACUAAAAAACAAGACAUUUGAGGAACUGUACAGCAUCCUAUCAUAUCAAUUUCCAAAGGAAGUUUCAACUUUCAAGGAGAGAAUUGAAUUUAAAUUGCAAAUUUGGAGCAAAUCUUUGUUGCUGGAAUGUGCAAAAAACCAGUUUUGGAUUGAGUUUGUGAAGAGGACCACACAAAAAUGUUGGAGGAUAUCCUAGAAGUGAGUUUGAACAAGGACCUUAUCCAAUGGAGGGAAAUUGUCACAUGUUCACCAUUUGAAAUGGGAUCAACACAGUCCUAGAAGGAACAUCAAACACCAAGAAGCUGUGGAGAACAAAAAUGAUAGGGGGUCAAAACUAAAGAAGAUAGAAAAGUGUUAUCUGUUACCGAGGCACUUUCACCAACUUUAAAGAGAAGAAUUUCGGGUCGGAAGCGGUGUAUGACAUCAAUGUGUAUGAGUUACUGAGGCACUUUAACCAACUUUAAAGAGAAGAAUUUCGGGCCGGAAGCGGCGUUUUUAAUUUCGGUGUCUUCCGGAAAAUAUUGAGAGAGAAGUAUGGCAUCAAUGGUAGUGUAUAAUGGUGGAUUUCUCGGAAAUUUCUAUUCUUUGCCCUUCAAGAAUUGCAUUUUGCUGGUGUCUACGUGUAACACUGACGGUGAGAUUUUGCUGGUAUCUACGUGUAGUACUGGAUAAUCGCAUCGUUCUUAAUUUUCGAAUGAGUAAGAAGACAAUUUCAAGGUUGUUUUAUCGAUUAUCGCCCAGGAAAUCCCAUCCAAUUCAAAUAACCUUGACGAUGGCACACCAAGAAGCAAGAAUCACCAUCAAAAGAAUUUUUUUUCGUCUAAUUCAAUCAGUGAAUCAAGAAUGUUUUAACGUUGCGGUUAGAUCCUAACUUGCAAAAGAAUUUCAAACGACCUCUGGAUUCUUCUUGGAGGAAUCCACCAGCAAUAGAUUCUGUGGCGUUCCUUCGUAGGCGGAGCAGAAACAAGAAGCAAAGUUAACCUCCUCCGGCAGCAGCAGCAACAACGACGAAGAAGGAGUUUUGUACGACCGCAGAGGCCAGUUACGAAGUGGCCACCAGCAGCCUAAGGAGGCUUCGGGGAGUGCGCGUUUGUGUGAGAUCCAGGAUGAUGUGAAUGUAGCAGCGAUGUUUACCAAGGCAAACUUAUACAACACCCUGUUAUUCUUCACGGUAAGCUAAAUUAUUAAUUUCUUUCUAAAUUAAUUUAUAAAAAAAUUUAUUUUGAUUCGAAUUGAUAACGAUAACUUACUAAGGUUAACUUAUUUAAUGAAUACACCUACUCACUAAACAGAUAAGUCGCUAAUUGAUAUUGGCAUUUUAAUAUUUAUUUACAGAACAUUUAAAACCCAACCCAACUCCAAAAAUAUUUGUUUAACACUUUGCUUAUUAACACGGUAAUAAUAAUAUUAAUAGAAAAUUAGUCUUUGUUUGAAGAUUUUGAACAUUUUUUUCCUUUUGGGUUGAGAUUAAGUAAGCAAUGAUUUUAAAAGGAGUUAAAAAUGUCCAUUAAGAUAAAAAUCAAAUUUAAUUUUGAUGUGGUUACAUUAUUUUCGAUUUCAUAAUUUCAUAACUGGGCAAGAGUGUGUUAGUACUCGUUGAACCUUCGAUUCGACCGCAUAAAUCGGGGCGGUCAUGCUCUAUAUACUUUCGUUAUAAUUGCGUUAUGGAUCUUUUGUUGGCAAUAACAAACAGAGAUAAUAACUAAUACAUGGGUACCACGGAUGAAUGAAUUAAAUUUUUACUAAUAUCAAUGUUGGGAAAAACGGGAUUUUCGUUUUCAUCGCUCUAAAA